rnacentral:rRNA from 1 species
AUUGAACGCUGGCGGCAUGCCUUACACAUGCAAGUCGAACGGUAACGGGCCUUCGGGUGCCGACGAGUGGCGAACGGGUGAGUAAUGUAUCGGAACGUACCUUUCAGUGGGGGAUAACGUAGCGAAAGUUACGCUAAUACCGCAUAUUCUGUGCGCAGGAAAGCAGGGGAUCGCAAGACCUUGCGCUGAUUGAGCGGCCGAUAUCAGAUUAGCUAGUUGGUGAGGUAAAGACUCACCAAGGCGACGAUCUGUAGCGGGUCUGAGAGGAUGAUCCGCCACACUGGAACUGAGACACGGUCCAGACUCCUACGGGAGGCAGCAGUGGGGAAUUUUGGACAAUGGGGGCAACCCUGAUCCAGCCAUGCCGCGUGAGUGAAGAAGGCCUUCGGGUUGUAAAGCUCUUUCGGCCGGGAAGAAAUCGUAUCAGCUAAUACCUGGUGCGGAUGACGGUACCGGAAGAAUAAGGACCGGCUAACUACGUGCCAGCCGCCGCCGUAAUAC